rnacentral:lncRNA from 1 species
ACUCUUUGCACAACAGGCCUAUGACUGGGCGGGCAGGGAAUAUAAACAUUGCAGGGUGAUAUAAAGAACCUUGAACUCAGAUCUCAGAGGCCUGGGAAAGGCUGAGUUUUGUGGGUAUUCCUUUGUUAACCCUGGACAAGUCACUUUCCCUUUCUGAAUUGCAGCUUACUGAUUUGAGAAAGGAUGGAGUCAGACUAUCUUUGAAGGUACUAAUUGGCAAACUUUAAUUUACAUGAGAUCACCCAGGAAGCUCGUUAAACAUGCAGGUGCGUGCGCCCCAUCCCUAGAGACUGACCCAGUUGGACUUGACUGUGAUUCCAGAACCUGGAUCGUGAAAAGAGGACAUCUGAGACAGGUGUUCUCGGAGUGCGCUUUGAAAAAAACGCUGUACUAAAAUAUCUUCUUGAUUAAAAUUCCAUAACUCUAUGAGGACUAGACAAGAAGUAAUGACUCCUGAAGAAUAUAGGGAAGAAAGUUAGUUAAAUUUAUUGUGCUCUGUCAUAAGUAGCUGGGGAGAAGCAAGCUCGUACUUGUGCAUUUAUCUGCAAACCAAAUCCUAAUGACAAUAGACAAUACAGUUACACAACGAUCCCCUGGUGAAUUGAACUGCCACUGCCUUAUUUUCACUACAGAAGGCUAAAUGUAAAGAAGCUGACCUACGGACAGCCAAUUCAUUGGCCUGUGUCACAGCCUAGGAUUGAGUGUCAUGUCCUUUGCAUUGAAAGAAGCAAGUUGAAGAUAAGGCAAUUUAACUUUCCCUUGGCUGAUCUUCAAACCCACUCUGGAGUGACAGUUGUGUUGCAUGUUGUGAAGCCUGCGGUGAAAAUUCCCACAAUUGUCCUGCUUCUGGAGAGGGUAAAAGGUAAUGCAUGUGAGACCCAGCUGACUGCCACACAGGUAAACAUUUGCCAGCACAGUGCUGGCAAAGCACUUCAAUUUUACUACUCAUUUUCCCCCAAACUUGGGACAGAACGAUGUUGAUGCCCAGGGGUACUUUUGCGGUUGAUAAAGAAGAAGAUGUUCAAGUAUUGUUGUUUAAUACAUAUUAAACACGAAUCUCACCAGGAAGGGGACACUACUGGGUGUGUUUAAUUUGCUUUGUCAAAUGCUAAAUAAAAAC